UUGAAUAUAUUCCAAGAGAAUAUAAAACAAAUUCAAGUACCACUAGCACCCAUUAGUUCUCAAAAAACCUCUAGAUUCUACCUCAAUCAAAAAAUAUACAUAAUUAGUUAUUGGCCAAGAAUUCAACUGGCCUUUUAUUCCCAUUAUGAACCUUAAAAACACACUUAUCACAUACAUUGUCCAAACACCCUGCUGCUCAUCAAGAAUUAACACCCUGUGCCCAAAAAAAAAAAACACAAGGG
rnacentral:misc_RNA from 1 species